rnacentral:rRNA from 1 species
GGGGUUCGGGUGAGGCUUUGGGUCACCUCCCACCCGUGUUUAUUUUACCUUGUUGCUUCGGCGGGCCCGCCUUUACUGGCCGCCGGGGGGCUCACGCCCCCGGGCCCGCGCCCGCCGAAGACACCCCCGAACUCUGUCUGAAGAUUGAAGUCUGAGUGAAAAUAUAAAUUAUUUAAAACUUUCAACAACGGAUCUCUUGGUUCCGGCAUCGAUGAAGAACGCAGCGAAAUGCGAUACGUAAUGUGAAUUGCAAAUUCAGUGAAUCAUCGAGUCUUUGAACGCACAUUGCGCCCCCUGGUAUUCCGGGGGGCAUGCCUGUCCGAGCGUCAUUGCUGCCCUCAAGCCCGGCUUGUGUGUUGGGCCCCGUCCUCCGAUUCCGGGGGACGGGCCCGAAAGGCAGCGGCGGCACCGCGUCCGGUCCUCGAGCGUAUGGGGCUUUGUCACCCGCUCUGUAGGCCCGGCCGGCGCUUGCCGAUCAACCCAAAUUUUUAUCCAGGUUGACCUCGGAUCAGGUAGGGAUACCCGCUGAACUUAAGCAUAUCAAUAAGMRGAGGAA